GAUGAACGCUGGCGGCGUGCCUAAUACAUGCAAGUCGAGCGAAUCGGGGACGGGUGAGUAACACGUGGAUAACCUCCUAUAAGACUGGGAUAACUUCGGGAACCCGGAGCUAACCCGGUUACUUAUUGUUGGAUCCCCGCGGCAUUAGCUAGUUGUUAAGGUAACGGCUUACAAAGCCAACGAUGCAUAGCCGGCCUGAGAGGUGGAUCGGCACCACUGUAACGGAGACACGGCGCAGACUCCUACGGUGGGCAGCAGUGGGAAAUCUUACGGCAUGGGCGAAAGCCUGACGGAGCAAGGCCGCGUGAGUGAUGAAGGUCUUGGGAUCGUAAAACUCUGUUAUUAGGGAAGCGGUACCUACUCAGAAAGCCACGGCUAACUACGUGCCAGCAGCCGCGGUAAUUC
rnacentral:rRNA from 1 species